rnacentral:rRNA from 1 species
AUUGAACGCUAGCGGGAUGCUUUACACAUGCAAGUCGAACGAGUGGCGGACGGGUGAGUAAUAUAUCGGAAGUGCCCCGUCACGGGGGAUAACUACUGGAAACGGUAGCUAAUACCGCAUACUAUCGGAUAACCCAUAUGGGCUUAGCUAGUAGGUGAGGUAAUGGCUCACCUAGGCGACGAUCCCUAGCUUGUCUGAGAGGAUGAACAGCCACACUGGGACUGAGAACCGGCCCAGACUCCUACGGAGGCAGAAGUGGGGAACAUGGCAAAAGGGGCGCAAGCUGGAUGAAGCCAUGCCGCGGGGAUGAAGAAGGCCCUAGGGUUGUAAAGUACUUUCAGUAGGGAGGCGUUACCGACAGAAGAAGCACCGGCUAACUCCGUGCCAGCAGCCGCGGUAAUUC